ensembl:lncRNA
CUCGUCUGCCCGACGGCUCUCUGGCCCUGUACACAGCUGGGCCGAUUCCCAACCUGACCGCUGGUGUCCUUCAGAAAGAAGGGCCUCGUGACGUCUUGGGUGACUGCCGAAGGCCGGCGGGUGAUAGGAGGGUCGACGGGUGUGGGGGAGGACAGAAAAGGACAGUCGUGAAAACGAAACAGAGCAGCACUGGUGUGCGCGCAGAGGCAGGGAGGACGGACUGGGGGCGCGGGGCCCUAGCCUGUCCUUCCCUAAGGAAGGGGUCUGUGUCCCGCGCCCGUAGGGCCGAACUGCGGGCUGCAGUGCUGGGGCGGGGCGGCCGCAUGGCCCCAUGUCCUGCGGAAGGACCGGCUGGAAGGAGACCGGCUGGAGAGAUGACCCAAACACGUAGCUUUGGAAUCCCAAGAGCAAGAUGGAAGCCAGGCCUGUAAGAGCCUGCAUGGAAAAGAUCAACCACAAAGACAAGCAUGAAAGAGGGAAAAAGCCGACCCUCCAAAGUUUCACACUGACUAACAGGAUACUUAUUCUCCAGAAGAAAGGGACUGACCACAGCAAGAGGCAGGACACCCAGCGGCAGUGGCUGCAGACACACUUCACGCCUCAAAGGACAAGUCCUCCAGCUUCAUUCUUCAUAUUUGUCACAACAAUUUAUUUUUAUUUCUUCCAUAUGAAGUUUAGGCAGAACUUGUCAAGUUCCACAAAAAUCUGAGACACAGUUUUGAUUCGAAUUGCAUGGAAUUCACAGAUGAAUCAAAUUUACCUCUUUACAAUCUAAUGCUCCCACUGCUGAACACUACUGCUCCAUAGAUGAAGGGCAUCUUUAUGCCGUUAGGAUGCUGUCCCAACAGGUCUUACACAUUUUUGCUAGACUUAUUCCGAGAUAACUUUGUAGUUGUUCUAAUUCUUCAUUCUAAAUAGUUGUUUUCAUUAUAAUUUCUGAGUAGUUGUUAUUGGUACCUAGGAACCUUAUUCCGAGAAGGCAAUGGCAACCCACUCCAGUACUCUUGCCUGGAAAAUCCCAGGGACGGAGCAGCCUGGUGGACUGCCAUCUAUGGCGUUGCACAGAGUCGGACACAAGUAAAGCAACUUAGCAGCAGCAGCAGGAACCUUAUUUUGUAUAUCGAUCUUGUAUUUAGCAACCUGGCAGAAAGCCCCUCCUAGAUGGACCAGUCAGGAGAUUCCUUUGGAUUUUCUGUGAAAGAUGCAGGAUCCUAUCCUCUUAAGGAGAGAUGUGUCUCUUCCUCUUCUAAUUUGAAUCCCUGUUUUUUUUUUUUUUUUCCCCUUGUCUUCUUACAUUGGCUUGGACUUCUGGUACAAUGUGGAAUGGUGACAUUUUCCCUGGUUUCAGUCUGAAAAUGAUGCUUCUGAAGUUUUAUCAUUGAGUGUGAUGUUUCAACUUGUAUCAGGUGGAGAAAUUUUCCUUCAGUCUUUGUCUGCUUUGUUUUCUAAAUCAUGAAUGAAUAUUGGAUUUGGUGGAGUACUUUUUUCUCUGAAUCUGUGGUGACUUUUUCACAGCUAUUUGUAAGGCCUCCCAAGACAGCCAUUUUGCUUUUUUCCAUUUCUUUUCCAUGGGGAUGGUCUUGAUCCCUGUCUCCUGUACAAUGUCACGAACCUCCAUCCAUAGUUCAUCAGGCACUCUAUCAGAUCUAGUCCCUUAAAUCUAUUUCUCACUUCCACAACUGAUGGUGACUUUUAGAUGGUGAAGCAUCUUUUGGGUCAUGACUUUAUUUUUAAUAUACAAUCAAAUUAAACUAGCUAUAACUUUAUUUUAGAUUAUGUUUUUGUUCAUACUUGAGAUUGAUCUUAUUGGUUUUUGUACUGUCAUUGGAGUUUGAAAAGAAAGUUAUUUUAAAAUUCUCUGUGUAAGAAGCUGUAUAAAAUGUUCAAUAGGCUGCACUUGCCCUCUGUGAUGGCCCAUACUCUGUCUCUGGAGUGUGCUUCUCUCUGAAUCUGAAUAAAUCUACUUCUUACCUAAAAAAAAAAAAGAAUGUCCCAUGAAAGCUCUUGCUUGGGCCUAAAGUCUUUUUGUUUAUUUUGAGUGGUUGGGAGGACCAGAUCACAAAUUCAAUCUCAUUAACUGUUAUUAACAGAAGUAAGUUUGCUAAAGUCAUUUUUGAUCAUUUAUAUCUUUUAGAGAAUUUUCCAUUUCAUCCAAGUUUCAAAUUUGUUGUCAUAAGAUUAUUCAUGGUAUUUUUUUUAUGAUGCAAAAACUCCAUGAUAUCUGUAGUUAGAUUCGUUUGGUUCCAAAUAUUGUUUGAGGCUGUUAAAGUAUUAGUCAUGCUAGAAAUGUUUCUUUUAAUAAAGAAUCGAUUUUGAUAUGCUUGAAAAAGAAUGAGAGUUUGUUAUUUUUUCCAAUGUCUUAUCAUGCAUACUAUAUUCACAAUGCAUAGAAUACAUCUACCAAAAACUCCUAAGGAUCUUUUAAAUAGAUAAUGAAGAUUUUAGUGUUUACUGAUGGCUUUGUAAAUGACACAUAUGCAAUUUAAGAGUAUCCUUGACCUUACUGUAAAAUUAUUUCUUAUUAUAUCCAAGGGUUUCCCUUCCUAAUUUUAAAUGGAAAUUUAACUUUUCAAUAAUAUGAAUCUCUGGCAGGAAAUAUCACUCUCACUCAGAACUGACUGAUUUAGUGGAAUUAUAAAACACUAACUUUCCAACUUCUUUAUUAGUAAUUCUAAAGCAUUUCUAGGAUUGUAUAUUUUACUGUCAAAGAAAAAAUCUCCAGAAACAUGAAACUGUUUUAAAUUCAUAUUUUAAUUUCAUUAUCUUAUUUAUUCAUUAAGAAUGUGUGAAACAUUUAUAAUAGUUCCUGCCAUCCAUGUAUUAUUAUUCUCAUAUCUUCUCUUUCAUGGAAUUUAAUUACUUAUGAAUAUGCAAAAAAUCAUAUGCUCCUAAAUCUUUAUUUGGUGAAGGUAAAUAUGGGUGACACUUUGAUUUUUAGUCAAUGGGAAGGAUUCACCAGUCUUUGUUUUUGACCUUCUAUAACAUACAAACUUAGUGAGAGCUAAUUUUAAGUCAAAAGCAAUUUAAACGACUAUGUCAAAGAACAAAUGUCUUCAAGCUUGUAUAUUCAGGAAUGGUAAAAUUAAAAGUACACUUAAGAUUUUAGCCACAGUAUUUUUUUUCUUAAAAUACUUGAAUAAAAUAAAUAUUCCCUCCAGAUAGGAGUAUCACAUCACAGUUCCACAAUUAGAAUUCUAAUAUUAAGCUAGAAAGUUACCAGCUGGUCGUGCUUCAGUUCAGUUGACAGAAAAUGUAGAUAGUCUGCAAUGAAAUUAGAAACAUGACUGUCUUCCAAGGCUAUUCAUGCCACGCUGGGCACCCUCUCCAAGCCCUUCAAACAGUCCCCUACCCACUGCCUUGUCAGCUCCUCCCGCCCUUUAUUAAACCACGUUGCACAUUUCUAGAAUGAACUCUGCAAAAGACCUAAGAACACCAUUAGUAAUUUUCACUCACUCAAACGUUUUAUUUAGACAUUUUAGUGAUGUGUUACUUUUAAUGUACUUCCACAUUAGCCCUCAAGGUUUUAAUAACUGAAUAGUGAAAAAAUAAAGUUGUCUCCCUCUUGACAGCACACAAUCUUCUGAAGGCUGGUUUGGGCCAAAAUAACAAUCAAGAAAACUAUAGGGUGUGACAGCUUCCUGUGCUCUGAGCAGCUCAUCAUGCCUGAAACACAAGGUCAGGAUGUCUCAACAGUACACCAGAAUGCAGUUAAAAGGUAAUUUCCCUAUGUAAAUCCCAGUGACACCUUUCAGGAAUCUUAUUCAUAAUCCAUGAAAGGAACAUGGAAUUACAGCAUCUUAGAGCUGGAAGGACCUUAGAAGUGGCCCUACUGUCAUUUUCACUUUACAGAUCAGAAAAUGGAUGCCCAGAGAGGUUCUGUGAUUUCCCUGAGGUUGCACAGCAUGCAGGGCUGAAGUGGGCGCAAGAACUCCUGACUUUCUGCUCUGGGUCCCCGUCCAUGUGACCUCAUGGGAUUAAGCACCAGGCACAUGGUCCAGAUGACAACAGGUGCCUUUUGAGCUGUUUCUACCACACUUUAAAAGAAACGUGUAGAAACAUGGGUUAGACUAUGUUUUAGGCUUUGCUCUUUUCUUCCAGUCCAGAAUGUCUAAAAUUGUCAAAUAUUUUUGAUUGCUAACAACAACAAGCUACCUCAUCAUAUAAAUUGGAAUUGUCAUUUUAAAUCAAAUUCAGGUAUUAUCUUUACUCUUGCUUAGUGAACAAAACCUCACAGCCUUAUAAUUAUGGCAUUUUAUUGUUCCAUUUAUAUUACAGACAUAAAUUACAUCUGUGAAAAUGUUUUCUAUGUUCUGCAGAAAUAAUAAUUUCUAUAGUAUAAAUAGAAUCUGAAUUUUCUUAUUUGGAUCAAUUUCUUAUUUGAAUUUUCUUAUUUGAAUCUAUUUCUAUUAGUACAAAGCAGAACUCUCUUCUCUGUUCUAGAAUAAAAGAUUCAUUUUAAAGCUAAGAGGAAAUGGAGUUUCACGAACAGAUGAGCAUUCAGGAGCUAAUCAUGUGAUCUGAAUGAAAAAAUCAAGUGAUUUUUACAUUAAGCAUCAUUUAUCAAUAGUCUGUUAACAGGUAACUUAAAGCAAGCCACAAACUUCAAAUUAAAGAAAAUAUAAGAAUGCAGAAACCUUACAUGAACCAUUCGUGUCACACUUUUGAAGACACAGAGAUCCCCAAAAGCAAGCAGCAUAGUACUAAUCUAUCUCUUGAGAUAAAUUUUCCACCAUUGUAGGAAUGAAAAGUAACAUGAAAAUCUAUGGCUAUUUAUUGCUUUUAAGAAUUACAUUGAAAUUGCAAAAACAUAGUGUUUUUAGAGACAUGUGUAUGCUAUUUAGGGCCACAUGUAUUGGAUUUUUUGCACUUAAAGCACUCUUUAAGUUAGUUAGUGAAGUGAAGUUGCUCAGCCGUGUCCGACUCUUUUGUGACCCCAUGGACUGUAGCCUAUCAGGCUCCUCCAUCCAUGGGAUUUUCCAGGCGGGAGUGCUGGAGUAGAUUGCCAUUUCCUUCUCCAGGGGAUCUUCCUGACCCAGGAAUAGAACCCGGGUUUCCCGCAUUGCAGGCAGACGCUUUACCGUCUGAGCCACCAGGGAAGCCCCUUAAGUUAGUAAGUGUUUAUCAAAUGCUUAUUACAUGUGUGGGACUGUGAUACACAUGGAGUGACCAAAAUAAUCCAGACCCAGUCCACCCUCUCAUCCAGCAGAAGCAGGCUUGUCAAACUGCUCAAAAGGUAGCACCACACGCGUUACACAGCUCUGGGCAUGGCCUUGGAGGGCGGGGAGACCUGACACAGCACAGGGAGAAAGAGGGGGUACAUCAGGAUAGCAACUGAGUUUGGCUGAACUUUUUCCCAUACAGACCCUGGGCAACCUCAAAGGCUUUCACACUGUCUAGAAUGUUCUGGGAAUAUUUCAGUACAUUACAAAGACUAUGUGCUUCUUGAUAUAUUUAUGUGCUGUACUGAGGUAAAAUCCUCAAGACAUGUAUGUCCUAUUUAUCCUGUGUUAGGUGUGUGUUCAAGUAAUGGUAACAAGUGAGAGGCAAAUUAGAUUUAAAUUCUUGACUCGUGUGAGACUGUGUAAAAUGGCUGUGACUAUAAUUAUAUUAAAGUUUCAAAUGUGCAGGGUAAAAGUUAUCUUAGUUAAGAAAAUGAACACAAAAUGUAAGAACAUUCAAAGAAAUUAUUUCAAAAUUCUCUUUCUCGUUGGCCAACAAUGAAAUUCUGUUACACGCCAUUAUUAUAAGGCAGCUUUAAGCCAGUUAAGCAUUUGCUGGUUGACACGAACAGCAUUGUCUGUUACAGUUGUAAAGUUUCUGUGAAUUACUUUUCACUACAAAACACGUGCACUGCCCUCAACAGAUGCUUAUCUCGGCAAGAACCAAACUGCUGAACCAGUGGAAUCGCCGCCAGAUUAGCUGAGGUUUACUUUGAAUACACUGACCUUCGGGGAAUAAGUCCGUUUUCCACUCUAAUCUUUUAAUGUCUGACUUGCAAUACAUUUUCCAGCACACGGAGGGCCUGCCAGCGAAGUGAAGCACAUGUCAUAACCCAUCAUUUUGAAUUCUUGCGUGAUUAAAAACCAAAGCACCAUCCACUCCCCUGCUGUUUGCAUAUGAACAUUAUUAAAUGGCACAUUUGGGCGAAACCUUGCUUAAGCAAACCCUGGCGGACUGCCCUGGUCGCUGAAGUCCGUGUCGCAGCUGCUCUGGACCGAGGGGUCUGCCCAUUGGGAUGGAAGAGUCUCACCCGGCCGGACAACGAGCACGUGCCAGCGCCCGCAGCCCCAGAGCGCGGCCCGAAGAGCGCAGACGCGGGACCAGCCCAUUCUCCGCAAUUUCUGCUGAAACCCGCCGCCACGCGCACACGCGGCAAGAAACGAGGCCGAGGCGCUCAAAGCCAGUCAGUCUUUAAAAAAACUUUGAGAGAGUUUCUUAAAGGAGCGCAGGCGAGCCAAGACCUUGGGGAAGAGCGGCGCGCGCCCCGCGGGAGUGCCGGCGCCCACAGGGUCUCAGCGCAGGUCCGGCGCCCCACAGGGGCGCAGCCCAGGGAAAGGUCUGAAGCCAUCGCCGGCCACCCCCCACACCCCGAAAAAGCCAUCGCCGCGCCAAGCUCCAGAGUUCCCCAGGGAGUGCCC